CAGAUGGGCGAAUAGACAGUCCUGGCUACUGUGCCCAGUAUUGCUCCUACACUGCCAUGGAGAAUGAUUCAAAAGAAAUCAUCUCAGUUGUUACCAUCGAUAAGAGGCAGACCGCAAGCAAUUCUGUGAUCAUGGAGAAAGAGGCUUUUGUCACGACCAAGGACAAGCUUCUUGGUGAAGUUAAGAUGGCAGAAAUUUGCACUGAUGCUCACACACAAAUUGCCUCCGUUAUGAAUAAAACAACUGGUCGCUAUAAAGAGAAAGGAAUUGUCCACUCAUGGGGCAUAUGGCAUGGGGCAAAGAAUUUAGCCAAGAUGAUCUCUGCGGCAGCACAGCAAACUGGACAAAAGAUCCUUCUCCACUGGUUAAAAGACAUUGUAAAUCACUUUUGGUUCUGCUGCAAGACGGCAGACAUGGAGCAACAGUUCAUUCUAUCGUCGAGUGUUUAA
rnacentral:lncRNA from 1 species